rnacentral:rRNA from 1 species
CCUACGGGUGGCAGCAGUGAGGAAUAUUGGUCAAUGGACGAGAGUCUGAACCAGCCAAGUAGCGUGAAGGAUGACUGCCCUAUGGGUUGUAAACUUCUUUUAUAUGGGAAUAAAAUGUUCCACGUGUGGGAUUUUGUAUGUACCAUAUGAAUAAGGAUCGGCCAACUCCGUGCCAGCAGCCGCGGUAAUACGGAGGAUCCGAGCGUUAUCCGGAUUUAUUGGGUUGAAAGGGAGCGGAGGUGGAUUGUUAAGUCAGUUGUGAAAGUUUGCGGCUCAACCGUAAAAUUGCAGUUGAAACUGGCAGUCUUGAGUACAGUAGAGGUGUGCGGAAUUCGUGGUGUAGCGGUGAAAUGCUUAGAUAUCACGAAGAACUCCGAUUGCGAAGGCAGUUCACUGGACUGCAACUGACACUGAGGCUCGAAAGUGUGGGUAUCAAACAGGAUUAGAUACCCGGGUAGUC